UACGGAGGGUGCAAGCGUUAUCCGGAUUUAUUGGGUUUAAAGGGUGCGUAGGCGGUUAUAUAAGUCAGUGGUGAAAUCCUGCAGCUCAACUGUAGAACAGCCAUUGAAACUGUAUGACUUGAGUGAUCUUGAGGUAGGCGGAAUGUGUAGUGUAGCGGUGAAAUGCUUAGAUAUUACACAGAACACCGAUUGCGAAGGCAGCUUACUAAGGAUUUACUGACGCUGAUGCACGAAAGCGUGGGGAUCAAAC
rnacentral:rRNA from 1 species